rnacentral:rRNA from 1 species
UACGAAGGGGGCUAGCGUUGCUCGGAUUGACUGGGCGUAAAGGGCGCGUAGGCGGUUCGUACAGUCAGACGUGAAAUUCCUGGGCUCAACCUGGGGGCUGCGUUUGAUACGUGCGGACUUGAGUGCGGAAGAGGGUCGUGGAAUUCCCAGUGUAGAGGUGAAAUGCGUAGAUAUCGGAAGGAACACCAGUGGCGAAAGCGGCUUCCUGGUCCAGCACCGACGUUCAGGCACGAAAGCGUGGGGAGCAAACAGG